UCAAAAUGCUAGGUGCAGAGCUAUGGCC
rnacentral:piRNA from 1 species